GACGAACGCUGGCGGCGUGCUUAACACAUGCAAGUCGAACGAUGAAGCUGGAGCUUGCUCUGGCGGAUUAGUGGCGAACGGGUGAGUAACACGUGAGAAAUCUGCCCUUGACUCUGGGAUAACUGCGGGAAACUGUAGCUAAUACCGGAUACUUUCCCUGGUGGGCAUCCACUGGGGAAGAAAGAAUUUCGGUCAAGGAUGCUCUCGCGGCCUAUCAGCUUGUUGGUGAGGUAGUGGCGCACCAAGGCGACGACGGGUAGCCGGCCUGGGAGGGUGACCGGCCACACUGGGACUGAGACACGGCCCAGACUCCUACGGGAGGCAGCAGUGGGGAAUAUUGCACAAUGGGCGCAAGCCUGAGGCAGCAACGCCGCGUGAGGGAUGAAGGCCUUCGGGUUGUAAACCUCUUUUAGCAGGGAAGAAGCGAAAGUGACGGUACCUGCAGAAAAAGCACCGGCUAACUACGUGCCAGCAGCCGCCGUAA
rnacentral:rRNA from 1 species